rnacentral:rRNA from 1 species
GAUCCUGGCUCAGGAUGAACGCUGGCGGCGUGCCUAACACAUGCAAGUCGAACGGACUUACAUUGAAGCCUAGCGAUAUGUAAGUUAGUGGCGGACGGGUGAGUAACGCGUGGGUAACCUGCCUUGUACUGGGGACAACAGUUGGAAACGACUGCUAAUACCGCAUAAGCGCACAGCUUCGCAUGAAGCAGUGUGAAAAACUCCGGUGGUACAAGAUGGACCCGCGUCUGAUUAGCUUGG